UGGAAGAGAGAAAAGCCAACGUCUGC
rnacentral:piRNA from 1 species